UCACAAGAAAAAACUCUUUUCUCAUACGAAUUUGUUGGUCAUUUCAGAUUUUAACUUCUCUCUCUAAAACUCAGUUUUCUUUCUAGCUUCUCUCUUGAUGUUCUUCAUGUUUUUGAGUGAUUCGACGAAGAAGAAGGUUGAUUUCUAGCAUGCAAAUCAAUAAGAAAGUAGAGAAGAGGAAGAAGAACACUAGAAUUAUAGUGGUUCAAUCAUUGUGACCUACAUCCACUUCAAUAAGGUGUUAUUCUUUCUUUUACUUUGAGUUUUUUCUUUUAUAGAUCUACAGGUUUUCUUUAUAAAUAGAAAAAUGAAUUCAUUCUCCCUGAUUUUCUUCUCUCAGUAUUUAUAGAAAACAGUUUCUGAUUUGAUAUUUUCUUAGAACUAAAAACAAAAAAUAUUUUCUUAGUUACAACUGUUUUCUAACAUAUUAUUUCCAUUACUUUUCUGUCGGAGGUGAGCUCAAAUAAGGAAGUUUUGUUGUAUGCAUGAUCUGAAUGAGUUUCGAGAUGGCCAUGGCCAAUGCAAAGAUUUAUGAGAAACAGAUCAAUCAUAAAGCAGCUCCGGAAUCGGUCACGAGUAUAAAAGAAAAGGAAACCUCAACUCUAAAUACAGCCGCACCUAAGAAUUUUUAUUAUUAAAUGCAUCAUUCCAACUAAUUAUCAAGGAGUAAGGAUGGAAGUGAAGAUUCAUCAAAGUGAAUGGAGAAUGUUACAUUACACCAACAUGAAUUAGAAAAUAAAUAACUCUAGCACAUAUACAACAACACAACCCCCCAAAAAUCGUUCAUGAGAGAUUCCAGUCCAUCCUCCUCCCCAUUCAAAAAAAAGGAAUCAAACAUCCUCCCCCAUUUUCCUCCUUUUUUUUUUCCCCCUUUUUUCUUAAUGGAAUAACAUUAGAAAUAACAAAAAAAUAACCAAAAAAAAAAAAAAAAA